AAGACUUUGAUUUUAGGGAUCAUUUCUAUAGUUCUUGGCUUGAGAAAUGUUUUUCUAAAGUGUUCAGUCUUGCUGUCCAUGAUGAAGAAGUGAUAUUCCUUUCUGAGUGGGAAGCUGAUUGAGAGUAAUGAUUCAAUUCAUAUGCUUUCUGUCAUUGAUGAUCAUGCUUUUUUUCUUUCUGGAGCAUUGAUAAAGGGAGUAUGAUUGGAGUGGU